UUUUUUCCAUUAUAGCUGACUUACAGUAUUCUGUCAAUUAUCUGCUGCACAGCAAGGUGACCCAGUCACACAUACAUGUAUACAUUCUUUUUCUCACAUUAUCAUGCUCCAUCACAAGUGGACCAGACAUAGUUCCCAGUGCUAUUCGGCAGGAUCCCAUUGUUUAUCCAUUCCAAAGGCUAUAGUUUGCAUCUAUUAACCCCAAACUCCCAGUUCCUCCUAUUCCCUCCCCCUCCCUCUUGGCAACCACAAGUUAUUGUCUUGUUUUUAACAUCAGCAAAUGUAGUGUUGAUUUGUGCUCAGAAAUUUUAGGAAACUUAACUGAAUUGUGGAGUAAAAGUGAAGGAUAUAAUAUGAAAAACAUAUCUAGUAGUAAAGAUGUAUAACAACAACAAAAACAGGAAUAUGUCAAUAAUAACUGUUUAUUUUAUAAUGAUUUUUAUUUUUUCCAUUAUAGCUGGUUUACAGUGUUCUGUCAAUUUUCCACUGUACAGCAAGGUGUCCUAGUUCUGUUUGGGAAUGCUCACUGUUUGCCUUGAACUGUGCUAACACUUGUAUCAGUAUCUUUUGUAUUCACCCAUGCAUUGAGUAUAUGUAGGCUACCUUCUAAUUGCUGGGAAUGCAAUAAUGAGAAAAGAACCAAUCUGAGAAGGACACUGAUUUGCUCUCAUGGAUCUUAGAGAUUAGUGGGAAGAUGGACAUAAUUAAAUGAUCAUGCUAACAACUAAGUCACUAAGAGCUGGUUGAGGACUCUGAAAGAAAGGCCCACUGUUUUGAAAGUAUCUAUAGCAGAUAAACCUUCCCAAGACCAAGGAUAUGUAGGAGGUUCCCUGAGGAACAAACAUUUAUUAAGGUCUGCGUGUGUGAGGUGGUUAAUUCAGCAAAGGUGGAAAAAGUAUGACUGCAUGACAAAUGUGACUAGAGUAAAAUUGGGCUGUAGACAUAGGGAGAAUGUGUCCUUUUUUUUUUUUUUUUUUCUGCACCUGCAGCAUGUGAAAAUUCCACAGCCAGGUAUUGUACCAGCACCACAGCAGUGGCAACACUGGGUCCUUAACCCAUUAGGCCACCAGGGAACUACAAGGACUUUUGUUUUAUCAUAGAAGCAAUAGAAAGUCACUAGGGUGCUUUCAAAAAUGGAGGUAAUGUGUGUAGAUCUACAUGUUUAAAGAUAACAUUAUCUGCAGUGUGGCGAUGAGACUGAAAAGGUCAGAGUGGAUAUGGGAUAGUUUGCACUAGAGUGGUGGCAGCAGAGAUGAUAAGUGCAAAGGUUCAGGAGAAAUUCGAGGGCUCUGUUAUGGGCUUGUUUUCUUAUAAAGACACUAAUCCCACCAUGGGGGCUGCACCCUCAUUACCUAAAUACCUCCCAAAAGCCCUCUCUCCCCAAACCAUUACAUUGGGGGUUAAAGCUUCAACAUGUGAAUUGGGGGGGACAUAAACAUUCAAUGUAUUGUACCCUACAAAGGCAUUGAUUCUGAUCUUCCCUAUCAAUUCAGUUACUCUAGUAGUUUCAGCUCCUCUGAUGCAGAUAAAGAAAAAGGGGGUGGGAGUGUUAAUUUGGGGUUGGUAUUUGGCCAAGUGGUACAAGAGAUAGAAAUAAGGUAUUUAGGGUAUUGGCAAGAGAGACAUGAAAAUGAUGGACUAUUCAGUCUAAACUUGAUAGGGAGUGGAGUGAAAAAAUAUACAGGGGGAUGAUGGAUUAGAAACAAUGAAGAAUCAAUUCACUGGAGUCCCCAAGGAGAUUAACGAAUGAUUUACUAAGAGUAAUUUAACAAACACACUGGAAGGGCACAAGGUUGUGGAAAGAAAGCAGGAUGGCUGAACAACUUUAUUUUGAAGUCAGGGUAUUUUGAAUGGUGACAGGUACUGAAUAGAACUGACAGAGUGGACAGUUGAAAUGGAGUGAGGAAGGAAAUGGAGCAAUUGAGAGGUCAGGAUACUGGUACUAUCAUCCACGAAAUCAUGAGAUCUCCUGGGGUGGGAUGAAGGAAGGGCUUGGGAUAGGAAGGACUCUGAUUCAGCCUGGGAUGCUCAGUGAGCAAGUGGGAGAGACUGAGAGCAGGAGAUGCUGGUGAUGAGGGGAGGGUGGUAUAGAAGAUGGACACUGGGAUUCUUACAUGAUGCUGAAGGAAACAGAAAUCUGAGAGCAGGAAUAGGACACAAGGAACCCGACCAGCCCACCCUGAUCCCAGUGUUCAUGGGAGAUAAUAAAGAGCUCCUGCUCAGGAACUCUGCUGGAGAGGAUGGUCCAGGAAGUAAAGUCCAGCAGCAGAGAACCAGUCUCAGUUUAGGGAAGCAGACUGAGAGGAGGACUUGGCAGAUCUGGGGUAGCAAUUCUACAGACAGGAAAGAAGGACUUGGAAAAUUUCAGAGAAUUAGCAAGCUGGCUCAGGGAUGAGGGCUUUACCCAGCCUGUGGUAUAACUGAAGACCCUAGGGCAGGAGGUCAGCUUGUACUUUGGGUGCUAACUAACUACUUAAAACAGUGGUCGGAGCCUUAGCAGAGAGAUGUACUUGGCUGAGUGGGCACCAGGCCUGACACUUGACCCACUUGAGUGAAGGUCAUGGGAACACAACGGCUUCAGUAUCUGAACUCCUAGGCUGCUUAGGGGCUAUGCUGAGGGAAGACACUGUGCCCACAGCAGGACUGAGCCUGGGCUGAGCUCCACCCAGUCCCUGGGUCUGGGGGUCAGGGAGGCCAGGACCCACAGGCACAGUGGGGCUGGUGUAGCCACAUCAGGCAGCACCAGUACCAGCACAGAAGGGAGAUGCCUGGUAUUUGAUAUUGUUAUCUUUGAUCGAUAAUCCCUCUUCUACAGUGGUGAAACUCAAAAAGUUUUGAAAAAACAAAGGGUUUGUUUUGUUUGCAAGUCUGUGGCAAACUCAUUUGGCAGCAAAACCCACCCUAAAUAUACGUGAGGCAAUUUGUUGUAUUUACAUAUCUCACUAAGAGUAACAAUUCAAAGAUUUUGUUUCAGAAAAAAAAAAAAGUACGUAUAUUACUAUGGGGUGUUCCCUAGACCCUGUUGAGGGUAUUUUACAAUAUUACAAAUUCCCCCUAAAAUUUUGAAUUAUAAAACACACCUGGGAGAGUUCCCAUUGUGGCUCAGCAGGUUAAGAAUUCAACUAGUAUCCAUGAGGAUGCGGGUUUGAUCUCUGGCCUCACUCAGUGUGUAAAGGAUCCAGCAUUGCAGCAAGCUGUGGUGUGGGUCACAGAUGUGGCUUGGAUCUGGCAGUGCUGUGGCUGUGGCGUAGGCUGGCAGCUGCAGCUCCAAUUCAACCCCUAGCCUGGGAACUUCCAUACACCUGGGGUGCAGCCCUAAAAAGACAGAAAACAAACAAACAAACAAACAAAAACCACACCUGGACCUAAAGGAUCCAGAUAAAGGAUUGUAGAUGUGUAUUAUAACCAUUUCCCUCACAUUUAGUAUUCCUAACCCCGAAUGAGGGCAAUGCUAUUAUUAGUCUUCUCAUAUUGAAAAUAAGAAUGAUCACAAUGCUAUUAUUAUUCCUUCCAUAUUACAAAACUAAGACUUUAAAAGGUAAGUGGCAGAAUCAAAAUAUGGACUGUGUGCUUCUAGAUCUUAUGCAAAAUUCCCAUUGGUUUCAGUCAACAAGAAGGCAGGUUGACCUUGAUGACUUCCUCUGACCUCCUAGGUGCUAACGGAAUUACCUUCUCACCACCAUCAUCUAAAAAGCAAAUUGAUACCCCAUGGUUCCCAGGUCAGGUGUGGUAAAAAGAAAGCUGGAGUGGGGCCACUUUCUAUCCCCAUGCUCAGACGGGUAGCCUAGACAUAGAGAGAACUCAAGAGGUGAAGGCUCCCUAGACGCCCUAAACCUGGUGCUCCCUGUCUCCAAUUCUUCUGGGAGGAUGCCCUGUACCACCAUCAGCAAUCAUCCCUCUCCUCUUUUACAACAACAGUUUAAGGAGCUGUGGACUCAAAAAGAAACAGAAGGGAUCUGUUCCUAGGGUUGGUCAUUUAUUUGUUUCCAAAUUUCUAGCCAAAAUUUAGCCAUCAAUCUGAUAUCAUACUAUUAUGAGUUUUUGCUUUUUUCUGUGUCUUAUUGAGAUAGUAAGGGAAGCUCUGUCAGUGUCUAACCAGAUAGUAUCUUAAAACAGUUAUCUUGUCCUAUGUUUUUUGACACACUCCUUCUCCCAAGGGUUUUAACACAUUCCUGGGAUAGUGUAUCUUAAAUUAGUGCUACUUGAUUACAUAAUUAAUUAAGGAGCAGACUCCUCUGAAAGGGAAAUGUCCCAUUUGCCCUAAUCCCUGUUUGCAAUCUUUUUUAGACACUACAUUCAUGGGUUCUAAGUAAAAGUAAAAAAAGAAAGCAAACAAAGUUAACAAACAAGAAACCUUACCUAGAGAGCUUUCAUCAUUGAAACAAAGUAUCCUCUUCCUGAUUUGGGAGGAGGGUGGUACUGGGGGCAGCUCAGGGUGUGUUGACAUGUAAACUGAGAUGAGAGAAUUAAGGCAGAGGGAUUAAGAGGGUUGACUUUAGAGACCACCCCAACAGUUUAAUCCCAUCUAAUCACUAGCCCUAUGACCUUGGACAGGUCAUUUGAACUCUGUACCUUGGCUACCUCAUCAAUAAUAUGAGAGUAAUAAUAAUAGUACACUUAUCUCUUUGGGUUUAGGAUUAAAUUGAGGUCAUAUGCAUAAGGCAGUUGGUUUACGACAUACCCAAACUCAAGUAUAAUUUACUAAUGGUCUUGUCCAGUCUUGCCUGGAGUACUCUUCAUGUUUCCCACCCAUGUAUUUAAACUCUAGGUUAAAAAUAAGCCAUGACAGCACAGUAACUGCAAAGACUAAGGCACAAAAUUUGAGUUAAUCCAAUUCCUCAUGUGACCCAGUUCUAUGUAUGAUUUCAUCUAUGUGAUCACUUGGAAUUAUCAUUUAAAUUUAAAAUGUGAAACAGUGAAACAGACUGCAAACUCAGAGUUGUCACAUUUUUGUUUACACUAUGAUGUUCAUGUUUAGUUUUUACUAGUAAGAUAAUAUAUGCCAAAUUUAAUUUUUAAAAUUGUUAUAUUCCGUAUGUUUUUUUCUCAUUUUCUCAUCCCUGUGUGUUUUGUUUCAUAUCUAUUACUAAAAAUAAUUUUGACAUUUGGUGGUGAGGGGGUGUAAAUGAUCUGUUUCAGGUGUCAAAAUGCUAAGUUCUCCACUCAGUAACAUCUAGAGUACUGUUCUAACAUUUUUAUGAUUCAUCAAACUCACAGCAGUUUCUGGUUCCCUUUGAAUCUUGGCUCUCUACCAGGUCAAAAGUGAGGCUCUGAGCAAGUGGCUUUCUCCUUCCUGUCACAGUUUCUCAGUUGGUAAAAAGGGGUAGUGACAGCUGUGUCACAGACUUGUAUCCAGAAUUGAAUGGACUAACACAGCACAGCAGCCGUGCAUGGUAGGCGCUGCUUACAAGGGCUUCUCUCUAUCCUUUGAAUCUAUGUAAGAAUGGGUUACACUUGUGAAUCUUUAUAGUCUCUCCCACUGAGACUGUCUACAGUCCUAUGAUCAUAAUAUAUAGACAUUCAGGGAUGGAUCUCACUUCAUAAGCAGUCACUUCCUCCCCUUAGAAACUCCCCAGUCGUGACGGUUCAGAUGUGUUCCUUGACUCCCAUUCCUGUUCCAGAGUGACAAUAAUGCCAUGUAUAUGCAAGGUUAGAUACCAUAUCUGCUCACCCAAAUACACUGCUGUUAUAUAUUAAUUAUGUGGCUCACAUAAAAUUGGAUAGAGUUCCUUGGCAAUUAAAAAUAUGGUAUCUGCAGAGUAUGGUCAGGAGUUUGGGGAGGUGGAAGGAGAGCAGCUCUGCAUGAAAUGCACACCUGUUAUAUUGUCAGGUUGAACAUUCUAUAUCCCUUGGUUCUCAUAGUAAAGUCUCUGUUUUAGAAUCCUCCAGAGCCCUCCAAACAACUUCAGAUCUCCUUUACUAGUCCUUAAAUGCAGGGAGCUUUGACUUUCAAAAUUAAAGCAAAAAAAAAAAUUUAAUGCAUUUGCCUUUUAAAAGCUGAGUAAAUUUCCCUUUGUGUUUUUGAUGAAAGAUCAUUGUUCUUUUUUCUCAACUCUAAGAUGACUGUGGUUCCAUGAAAGAAUGACAAAUAUAUGUAUUAUAAUUGGUAUUCAAAUUACAACUUUUGCAUCAUUACCUCUAUAUUAGUGAGAGAAUGCCUUUACUUAAUUACAUUUCACUUAAUCUCCAUGCACAGCGGCAUGCACACAAUCCACUACCACUAUACUUGUAUUACUCCCAUUACAUAUGAGGCCCAGAGCCUCUGAGGCCCGAAGCAACAGGACCAGAUUGCACAG
rnacentral:lncRNA from 1 species